rnacentral:rRNA from 1 species
GACGAACGCUGGCGGCGUGCUUAACACAUGCCAGUCGAACGGAAAGGCCCUGCUUUUGUGGGGUGCUCGAGUGGCGAACGGGUGAGUAACACGUGAGUAACCUGCCCUUGACUUUGGGAUAACUUCAGGAAACUGGGGCUAAUACCGGAUAGGAGCUCCUGCUGCAUGGUGGGGGUUGGAAAGUUUCGGCGGUUGGGGAUGGACUCGCGGCGUAUCAGCUUGUUGGUGGGGUAGUGGCUUACCAAGGCUUUGACGGGUAGCCGGCCUGAGAGGGGGACCGGCCACAUUGGGACUGAGAUACGGCCCAGACUCCUACGGGAGGCAGCAGUGGGGAAUAUUGCACAAUGGGCGGAAGCCUGAUGCAGCAACGCCGCGUGCGGGAUGACGGCCUUCGGGUUGUAAACCGCUUUCGCCUGUGACGAAGCGUGAGUGACGGUAAUGGGUAAAGAAGCACCGGCUAACUACGUG